UACAGAGGGGGCAAGCGUUGUUCGGAAUUACUGGGCGUAAAGGGUGCGUAGGCGGUUGUUUAAGUCUGUCGUGAAAUCCCCGGGCUCAACCUGGGAAUGGCGAUGGAUACUGGACAGCUAGAGUGUGUCAGAGGAUGGCGGAAUUCCCGGUGUAGCGGUGAAAUGCGUAGAGAUCGGGAGGAACAUCAGUGGCGAAGGCGGCCAUCUGGGACAACACUGACGCUGAAGCACGAAAGCUAGGGGAGCAAACAGG
rnacentral:rRNA from 1 species